rnacentral:rRNA from 1 species
GACGAACGCUGGCGGCGUGCCUAAUACAUGCAAGUCGAACGAACCGCGACUAGGUGCUUGCACUUGGUCAAGGUGAGUGGCGAACGGGUGAGUAACACGUGGGUAACCUACCUCAUAGUGGGGGGUAACAGUCGGAAACGACUGCUAAUACCGCAUAGGACAUAGGAUCACAUGAUUCUGUGAGGAAAGGUGGCGCAAGCUAUCGCUAAGAGAUGGACCCGCGGUGCAUUAGCUAGUUGGUAGGGUAAAGGCCUACCAAGGCGAUGAUGCAUAGCCGACCUGAGAGGGUGAUCGGCCACAUUGGGACUGAGACACGGCCCAAACUCCUACGGGAGGCAGCAGUAGGGAAUCUUCCGCAAUGGACGCAAGUCUGACGGAGCAACGCCGCGUGAGUGAAGAAGGUCUUCGGAUCGUAAAGCUCUGUUGUUAGAGAAGAACAGCGCAUAGAGUAACUGUUAUGCGUGUGACGGUAUCUAACCAGAAAGCCACGGCUAACUACGUG